rnacentral:rRNA from 1 species
UACCAGCACCCCGAGUGGUCGGGACGUUUAUUGGGCCUAAAGCAUCCGUAGCCGGUUCUACAAGUCUUCCGUUAAAUCCAACUGCUUAACAGGUGGGCUGCGGAAGAUACUAUAGAGCUAGGAGGCGGGAGAGGCAAGCGGUACUCGAUGGGUAGGGGUAAAAUCCGUUGAUCCAUUGAAGACCACCAGUGGCGAAGGCGGCUUGCCAGAACGCGCUCGACGGUGAGGGAUGAAAGCUUGGGGAGCAAACCGG